rnacentral:rRNA from 1 species
UACGAAGGGUGCAAGCGUUACUCGGAAUUACUGGGCGUAAAGCGUGCGUAGGCGGUUCGUUAAGUCUGUCGUGAAAGCCCUGGGCUCAACCUGGGAAUUGCGAUGGAUACUGGCGAGCUAGAGUACGGUAGAGGAUGGUGGAAUUCCCGGUGUAGCGGUGAAAUGCGUAGAUAUCCGGAGGAACACCGGUGGCGAAGGCGGCUUCCUGGACCGACACUGACGCUGAGGCGCGAAAGCUAGGGGAGCAAACGGG